AAUAUGAUUUCAUUAUUGAUUGGAAAGAGAAGGAGAGAGAGAGGAAAAAUUUCGCAGCAACCAUGGCGUCCGCCGUCCGUGAGCCAGGCAUCACUGGGUGUAUUUUGAAAUUUUGAUCUCACCGUUGUCGAGGAAGAUCACUUGAGACAAUGGAGUGCGCUGGGAAGGGGCGGGGUACGACGUGCAAGGGCCCGUCCUCAAGACGCUGCGGCGCCGUUGCUUACUGUUCUGUUUCUCACCAGUAUGAUAGAGCUGCGAUGAGAUACUGAUUCAACAAGGAAGAGUGUGAAAGAUUUGAACAACAGAUGGAGAAGGACGAUGUCUUGAAUAAUUUUCCCUUUACGUUUUCGGAGGAAGCUACACUUCAGGUGUGUGAAAAGCUGGAGACCAGGUGUUCAAGUGGGAAUGUGGAUGUCUGAGUGCUGCUGUAGGGCUGUAGUUCCAUUUCUUCAUCAUUCAAGGUUGUUGUUGUUGUUGUUUGUUUGUUGUUUUUUUGUUUUUUUUCUUGUUUUUUGGUUUUGUUUUCGUUCUCUAUUUUUUGAUACCCAAAUUAUAACAAUUGUUAGUGAAGAUAUCAUCUUCAGUUGGUCCUUCUAAUGAUGCGUAUUCAUGCGUGAAUUUGCAAUAAAACACAGGGUGUCCUAGUUGCCCAAACCAUCUGAAUUGAAGGGAGGAGUAUUUGAAAUCCCAUCAAAUUUUAUCAUCCUUUUACCCAAAAGAUUAAACCCUGUGGAAGAUGAAUAAUGAGUCACUGAAUCAAUGAAGAUAUUGGUUUGCCAUGAACUACUCUUGCAAUUUGAAUAACUUAUGUUGGUAUAUCUUUUGCUUUGGUUCAUUUUUAUUUUUAAAAUUUUUCUAGCAAGUUGAAUGAUGGUUGGAAUCUUUCGAGUGACUUGUGCCUAUGUAAAGGUAUUAUCUUUUGCUUCCAACUUACUUUUAUCCCAAAUUGACUGCUGUUUCUAGAAAGUUACUUCAUAUGAAUGUGCAGAGCCCCUAUCUCCGUAAUCAAAGCAUUUAAGUAGUUGGAAGGACUAUUAUGAAUGGAGGUGUAUCCUGCUACAUUCACCAGUUGCUUUGCUUCUUCAUUGGGGCCUGACGAAGAACUUCUUCAACUUGCUGCUUGGGGAAUUGUACACACUUUUUCCUGAUGUACAGGUGCAUAUAGAUUUUGUUGGACCUGCAGUUCCACAAUAUAGGUCAGUUUCAUAAUAUGAUGGAUGAUUUGGAUACUAUGUUUUGGUUAUUGUUGCUACAAGUGUGAGUCAGGCAAGAUGGUUUUGAGAUGGGAUUCAACUCAAGCCCAUGCCAAGUCCAAAACAGUCAGCCUAUAACUUGGCUAUAUAUGCAUUUAGUUCAAAUUAUUAAGCUCAAUAUUAGAUUUAUUAUUCUUGAUGUUUGUGUAGCUGUGCGACUUGGUUUAUAUUGGUUCUCUUGUUAGCUUCACCCUUUAUUAUUGUAUUUUUAUAAGUAUUCUAAUCAAAACAACUUAUAAGAUUGCAGAGGAAUUGAAGGAUACGUGGUUUGGUGCUAGGGUAAAAUCUGAGUUGACGCUGCAAACCAAACCCAGUAUGAACCUUGUUAAGGUUGCAACUUCCUCCAUAGAACCUUACCUUGACUCCAGAAAAUUUUACCCAAGCCUUUAGUGUAAUGGCUUGUAUCAGUUGAAUUGUUGAGCCUGAGCUGAGAUGCUUUGUUCUUUCCAUGAAAGUAUAUAUUGUUUGUCUCCUGUCGAGGAGCAGGAAUUGUCUGAAUAUUUUUUACCUCCAUCUUGUUAUAUUUUAGAGCAUCCACCAUAGGCCAUUUGGCCGUUUUUGUCUUCUUGUUUUUCAGAGAUUGUUGAAUGGUGUUUUGUGCAUGUUGUGAUUGUGGCAUUUCAUCAUGUCUGUGAACAUGAUUUUUUUUUCCUUGAAUUAAUACUCCUCAAGGAUGGUAUCUUCUCCUUCAUUUUCCAUCAUUACGCUUCUUUCAUUUCUUCUUUACUUUUUGCCUGGGAACAUUGAUUCCUCUGCUUUCAUGGGGACAAGUUAUGGUACGACAAUUGCCACAACAAAUUGCAUGGGCAUAUUUAGGUCACAGUUUGGACAAAAUCCCUUAUUUAAAAUUCCAUAGUUUAAUGAAGUGCAUAAGAUCUUAUGAAUUAGUAAAGGGACAUUGUUAUGGAAGUGAAUUCAAUGGUAAUUGUGACAAGAUGAUGGUAAUUGUUGUGCUUAGAACUGGUGGUGGUGGUGGGUGGUGAAGGUAGUGGUGAUGGUGGAGGCGGUGGCAAGUUAGUGGUGGUUGUGCAACGGACAAGUAGUGGCGGGGGUGGCAAGGUUGUUGCAGCAAAAGUGGUAAUGGUGGAUGGUGGCAACAUAGUAGUUGUGCUAAUGGUGGAGGUCUGGUGGUAAAGGUGAUGGCAUGUUGGUUGGUGGAGAUGGUGAUGACUAUGAGGUGGCGGUGGUGUCAUUGUAAAAUGUAGUUACCCUGCAUUGUGUCACGGUCCGACUAUUUUCACACCGUUGUGAAUGGGUCGUGCAGCGCUAGCUAAAGCACUCUUGUUUAACUAGCUAGCCUAUCGUUUACCAACAUUCAUCCACAAAGUACUUUCAUUAGCAUUCAUUCAAAUAGCAGCGGAAAAAGUAAUCAAUUCAUGAAAGCCAUGGCAAGCAAGCAGUAAACAUUGAAGUAAACGUAAUUCAUUAACAAAUCCUCCGUUGAAAUGGUGUACUUAGCGAGGGAGGCAAGUAGGCUAAGCACGUUGACAAUUGCUAGUGAGUUUUACAAUGACUGAUGAACACUCACCCUCCCCUAAAGAGGUUUUUAUGUAAUUAUCAUUAUGACACUAGGAAACAUCAAAGUGACCUAGGAGUCAUAUUGCCUUAUUUGGCAUACAAAGACACUACUAGUAGAAAAUAACCCUACACUAGUAUUUACAUGAUGGAAACUCAUCCCAAGCACACGAGAUAAGCAGUUACAGGCAAGCAUAAUGCCCUUAACAAGCUUAGCUUGUGACACAUUGGCGUGAGUUGUAGUCUUGUGCAUUGGGCUCUCCCCCCCCCCCACCCCCCCCCCCCCCCCCCCCCCAAAAAAAAGAAAAAAAUUUCCUGGACUUUUUGGUGUUUCCAAAUAGUGAAAAGUUGAGAAGGAUUUUAAAAUCUUUCGUAGACCACCAUGAAAAAACUAUACUGCAUUAAACUUUUGCUUGAAAGACAAGAUGAGGGAACAUUGAUCAUGAUGGCCUUGCAUGCUAAUUUACAUGUUUUGAAUUGAAGGCUUGACAAGGGAAAAGGGGAAGCCCGUAAUAAUGUUUGUCAGGGUUGUUAAUGUUCACCAAAAUAAAUAAAUAAAUAAAGUGCCAGCAUCAUUUAUGGCCUGUCAAGUAGUACAUACGAAUUGGUGGAAAAAGAUUCAUUUAGCCAACCCCACCUAUUGGGACUUCAGGCUGCUUCUUGUUAUUGUUCAACUUCUAUAAAUGAUGAUCUUAUAAACCUUAUCUUUCCCCCUGUUCAUGCACUCGUGCAUAUGCUUGCUCCCAUGUGUGCAUGAAUAUAUUUGAUAGUUACCUAGUUUGUAGUUUGAUGGUGAGGUGAUUGAUCUUCACGGGUAUGCUGAAUGCGUUGAGACAGACUCUGUUUGCAAAUCUUCAAGUGAAAAUGUCAACUGGCAUAUAUCCACUGAAAGAGCCUCAGCAGUGACACUGGGCUUCACAAAGGUUAUUAUCAUGACCGAUGCAGUGACAUAGCAAAGGAGCGAAAAAAAGAGCUGAAUGUCCCAGUAUUUUUUUUUCUGAUUACUGCGAAGAAACUUCCCAUCUGGCAGCUUGUUGCAUAAGCUCCAUAACUGGCAACUCGCUCACAUUUCCUAUUCAAUUAAAUCCAUUCAGGCAGCCGUUGGUGGCGGAAGAGAGUGCUCUGCUUCUUCCUUGUUUUUCAAACUGCUUCUGUUUGGAAUGUGAACUGUUUUUUAGGUUUAAAACUUUUGAUAUCUUAAACUAAUAGAAUGCGGGAAUUCAGGAAUGCAUAAAUGAGAAUAUUCUCU